UACGGGGGGAGCAAGCGUUGUUCGGAUUUACUGGGCGUAAAGGGCGCGUAGGCGGCCUCCGCAAGUCAGUUGUGAAAUCUCCGAGCUUAACUUGGAAAGGUCAACUGAUACUGCGGGGCUAGAGUGCGGAAGGGGCAACUGGAAUUCUCGGUGUAGCGGUGAAAUGCGUAGAUAUCGAGAGGAACACCUGCGGCGAAGGCGGGUUGCUGGGCUGAUACUGACGCUGAUGCGCGAAAGCCAGGGGAGCGAACGGG
rnacentral:rRNA from 1 species